rnacentral:rRNA from 1 species
CCCUUAGAUGUUCUGGGCCGCACGCGUGCUACACUGAGUGGAUCAGCGGGUCAGGUUGCGCGAAAGUGUUUCCUAAUCUUGAAAUCCGCUCGUGAUGGGGAUUGACGGUUGCAAUUUUCCGUCAUGAACGAGGAAUACCUUGUAAGCGCGGGUCAUCAUCCCGCGCUGAAUACGUCCCUGCCCUUUGUACACACCGCCCGUCGCUCCCACCGAUUGAGUGGUCCGGUGAGGCUUUGGGAUCUGAGCAAAGAGAGCGUUUCGCUCGUUUUGCUCGGAAAACUCAGUCGAACCUUAUCAUUUAGAGGAAGGAGAAGUCGUAACA